CGGCGGACGGGUGAGUAAUGUCUGGGAAACUGCCCGAUGGAGGGGGAUAACUACUGGAAACGGUAGCUAAUACCGCAUAACGUCGCAAGACCAAAGAGGGGGACCUUAGGGCCUCUUGCCAUCGGAUGUGCCCAGAUGGGAUUAGCUAGUAGGUGGGGUAAUGGCUCACCUAGGCGACGAUCCCUAGCUGGUCUGAGAGGAUGACCAGCCACACUGGAACUGAGACACGGUCCAG
rnacentral:rRNA from 1 species